rnacentral:rRNA from 1 species
GACGAACCACACAAACGUUAUUCGGAAUUACUGGGCUUAAAGGGUGCGUAGGCGGCGCGGAAAGUAGGGUGUGAAAUCCCUCGGCUCAACCGAGGAAUUGCGCCCUAAACUACCGUGCUCGAGGGAGAUAGAGGUGAGCGGAACUUAGGGUGGAGCGGUGAAAUGCGUUGAUAUCCUAAGGAACACCGGUGGCGAAAGCGGCUCACUGGAUCUCUUCUGACGUUGAGGCACGAAAGCUAGGGUAGCGAACGGG